UACAGAGGUCCCAAGCGUUGUUCGGAUUCAUUGGGCGUAAAGGGUGCGUAGGCGGCGCGGUAAGUCGGGGUGUGAAAUCUCGGGGCUUAACUCCGAAACUGCAUUCGAUACUGCCGUGCUUGAGGACUGGAGAGGAGACUGGAAUUUACGGUGUAGCGGUGAAAUGCGUAGAUAUCGUAAGGAAGACCAGUGGCGAAGGCGGGGUCUCUGGACAGUUCCUGACGCUGAGGCACGAAGGCCAGGGAGCAAAACGGG
rnacentral:rRNA from 1 species